AUGUUUGUGCCUCACUGGUGAUUCCUACAACUAUGUUUCAAAGAGUUGUGAACGCUCCAAAGUCUUCCCUGGAAAUCUUCAAGUGAAAAAACCAUUUAAAGAUGAAAUGACAGACACCACAUCAAAGGAAUUUAUAGAAACUGCUAAUGAAAUCAUUGCUGAGCUGGAUGAAGUUUAUAACGAGAUGAACGGUUACUCCAAAUCUAUAGUGCUGAAACUCCUGUAAGUCUCAGACUGACAA